rnacentral:rRNA from 1 species
AAUUUAACGGCCGCGGUACCCUGACCGUGCAAAGGUAGCAUAAUCACUUGUUCUCUAAAUAAGGACUAGUAUCAACGGCAUCACGAGGGUUAUACUGUCUCCUCUUUUUAAUCAGUGAAACUGACCUCUCCGUGAAGAGGCGGGGAUAGUUAUACAAGACGAGAAGACCCCAUGGAGCUUUAAACCCAAUGACAGCCCACACAAGUUUUACCCUAAAAUGAACAAAGCAAUGUUUAUUGGUUUUAGGUUGGGGUGACCACGGAGAAAAACCAAACCUCCACGAUGAAUGGACCUUAAUCCUAAUCUACGAGAUACUACUCCAAGAAUCAAUAAUUUGACAUAAUAUGAUCCGACAACGAUCAACGAACCAAGUUACCCUGGGGAUAACAGCGCAAUCCAUUUCAAGAGCCCCUAUCGACAAAUGGGUUUACGACCUCGAUGUUGGAUCAGGGUAUCCUAGUGGUGCAGCCGCUACUAAAGGUUUGUUUGUUCAACAAUUAAAACCCUACGUGAUCUGAGU